rnacentral:rRNA from 1 species
UACGUAGGUGACCAGCGUUGUCCGGAUUUACUGGGCGUAAAGAGCGCGCAGGCGGUCGUUCAAGUCGAGUGUGAAAGCCCCCGGCUCAACUGGGGAGGGUCACUCGAUACUGAUCGACUUGAAGGCAGGAGGAGGAAGCGGAAUUCCCGGUGUAGUGGUGAAAUGCGUAGAUAUCGGGAGGAACACCAGUGGCGAAGGCGGCUUCCUGGCCUGUUCUUGACGCUGAGGCGCGAAAGCUAGGGGAGCAAACGGG